rnacentral:rRNA from 1 species
AACGAACGCUGGCGGCGUGUUUAAGACAUGCAAGUCGCACGGGAUAAGACAUGUAGUAAUACUUGUUUUAUUUAGUGGCGCACGGGUGAGUAACACGUGAAUUACAUGCCCUAUAGUGGGGAAUAGCCCAGGGAAACUUGGAUUAAUACCCCAUGGUAUCGAAAGAUUAAAGGUGGCCGCAAGGCUGUCGCUAUAGGAUUGGUUCGCGCCCUAUCAGCUUGUUGGUGAGGUAACGGCUCACCAAGGCAAUGACGGGUACCUGGUCUGAGAGGACGAUCAGGCACACUGGAACUGAGACACGGUCCAGACACCUACGGGUGGCAGCAGUUGCGACUAAUUCACAAGGGUGGAAACCCUGAUGGUGCAACGCAGCGUGGAGGAUGACGGUCUUCGGAUUGUAAACUCCUGUCAUCUGGGGGAAAGACCUGACGGUAAAUAGCCGGCAGGGUUGAUGGUACCAGAAGAGGAAGCGACGGCUAACUUCGUGCCAGCAGCCGCGGUAA